rnacentral:rRNA from 1 species
UACGUAGGGCGCAAGCGUUGUCCGGAAUUAUUGGGCGUAAAGAGCUCGUAGGCGGCCUGUUACGUCUGCUGUGAAAUCCCGGGGCUUAACCCCGGGCGUGCAGUGGAUACGGGCAGGCUGGAGGCAGGCAGGGGAGAACGGAAUUCCCGGUGCAGCGGUGAAAUGCGCAGAUAUCGGGAGGAACACCGGUGGCGAAGGCGGUGAGCUGGGCAGUUGCUGACACUGAGGCGCGACAGCGUGGGGAGCAAACAGG